UACGUAGGAUGCAAGCGUUGUCCGGAAUUAUUGGGCGUAAAGAGUUCGUAGGCGGUGAUUUAAGUCUGAUGUUAAAGCCCGGAGCUCAACUCCGGCAUGGCAUUGGAAACUGGAUUGCUAGAGUGUGAUAGAGGUAACUGGAAUUCCAGGUGUAGCGGUGAAAUGCGUAGAUAUCUGGAGGAACACCGGUGGCGAAAGCGAGUUACUGGAUCAUAACUGACGCUGAGGAACGAGAGCCAGGGUAGCAAAAGGG
rnacentral:rRNA from 1 species